rnacentral:rRNA from 1 species
UGGGGAAUCUUGCGCAAUGGGCGAAAGCCUGACGCAGCGACGCCGCGUGAGUGAUGAAGGCCUUCGGGUUGUAAAGCUCUGUGGGGAGGGAAGAAUAAGUGCGGGCUAAUACCCCGCAUGAUGACGGUAUCUCCUUAGCAAGCACCGGCUAACUCUGUGCCAGCAGCCGCGGUAAGACAGAGGGUGCAAACGUUGUUCGGAAUUACUGGGCGUAAAGCGAGUGUAGGCGGUUUGGUAAGUCGGAUGUGAAAGCCCCGGGCUCAACCCGGGAAGUGCAUUCGAUACUGCCAAGCUAGAGUAUCGGAGAGGUUGGUGGAAUUCUCGGUGUAGAGGUGAAAUUCGUAGAUAUCGAGAGGAACACCGGUGGCGAAGGCGGCCAACUGGACGAAUACUGACGCUGAGACUCGAAAGCGUGGGGAGCAAACAGGAUUAGAUACCCACGUAGUCCCUGAGCGGGCUGGCAAGGCGCAU